rnacentral:rRNA from 1 species
AGCGGCGGACGGGUGAGUAAUGCUUAGGAAUCUGCCUAUUAGUGGGGGACAACGUUCCGAAAGGGACGCUAAUACCGCAUACGUCCUACGGGAGAAAGCAGGGGAUCUUCGGACCUUGCGCUAAUAGAUGAGCCUAAGUCGGAUUAGCUAGUUGGUGGGGUAAAGGCCUACAAGGCGACGAUCUGUAGCGGGUCUGAGAGGAUGAUCCGCCACACUGGGACUGAGACACGGCCCAGACUCCUACGGGAGGCAGCAGUGGGGAAUAUUGGACAAUGGGGGGAACCCUGAUCCAGCCAUGCCGCGUGUGUGAAGAAGGCCUUUUGGUUGUAAAGCACUUUAAGCGAGGAGGAGGCUUACCAGGUUAAUACCCGGGAUAAGUGGACGUUACUCGCAGAAUAAGCACCGGCUAACUCUGUGCCAGCAGCCGCGGUAAUACAGAGGGUGCAAGCGUUAAUCGGAUUUACUGGGCGUAAAGCGCGCGUAGGUGGCUAAUUAAGUC